rfam:Triticum aestivum genome assembly, contig: Triticum_aestivum_CS42_TGACv1_scaffold_220823_3B
AUUGUACUCCCUCCGUCCGGAAAUACUUGUCGGAGGAAUGGAUGUAUCUAGGCGUAUUUUAGUUUUAGAUAUAUCCAUUUUUAUGCAUUUCUUCGACAAGUAUUUCAGGAUGGAGGAAGUAAUAU